CACGUAGGGUGCGAGCGUUGUCCGGAAUUAUUGGGCGUAAGGAGCUCGUAGGCGGUGUGUCGCGUCGGCCGUGAAAACCUGCAGCUUAACUGUGGGCGUGCGGUCGAUACGGGCAUCACUGGAGUUCGGCAGGGGAGACUGGAAUUCCUGGUGUAGCGGUGAAAUGCGCAGAUAUCAGGAGGAACACCGGUGGCGAAGGCGGGUCUCUGGGCCGAUACUGACGCUGAGGAGCGAAAGCGUGGGGAGCAAACAGG
rnacentral:rRNA from 1 species